GACGAACGCUGGCGGCGUGCUUAACACAUGCAAGUCGAACGGAAAGGCCCUGCUUGCAGGGUACUCGAGUGGCGAACGGGUGAGUAACACGUGGGUGAUCUGCCCUGCACUUCGGGAUAAGCUUGGGAAACUGGGUCUAAUACCGGAUAGGAACCAUCUUUAGUGUGGUGGUUGGAAAGUUUUUUCGGUGUAGGAUGAGCUCGCGGCCUAUCAGCUUGUUGGUGGGGUAAUGGCCUACCAAGGCGGCGACGGGUAGCCGGCCUGAGAGGGUGUACGGCCACAUUGGGACGGAGAUACGGCCCAGACUCCUACGGGAGGCAGCAGUGGGGAAUAUUGCACAAUGGGCGCAAGCCUGAGGCAGCGACGCCGCGUGGGGGAUGAAGGCCUUCGGGUUGUAAACUCCUUUCGCUAGGGACGAAGCUUUGUUGUGACGGUACCUAGAUAAGAAGCACCGGCUAACUACGUG
rnacentral:rRNA from 1 species